CAGUUCUAUUAUAUUGAACAAUUCUUAACCAAGAUGAAAUCAUAUUUUCAAAUUCUAACUGCUCUAAAUUUUUCUUGUUAGGUGAAUAUGAGCAUUGCAAUGCUUCCAUUUUCACAAGAGUUUAACUGGAACGGUGCAACAGCUGGUCUCAUUCAGUCUUCCUUUUUCCGGGGCUAUCUCCCCACUCAGCUUGACUCAAACAUUGGCAGUUUUACUGCAAUACUUCCAAUGUCACAAGAGUUUAACUAAAACAGUGCAACAGUUGGUCUCAUUCACUUUUCCUUUUUCUGGGGCUAUCUCCUCACUCAGAUUCUUGGAGGUAUCUGGGCAAAUAAAAUUAGUGGGAAACUAGUAUUGGAUUUUGGAGUGAUCUGGUCGUCAGCUACAACAGUUUUGACACCUAUUGCUGCCAGAGUUGGGCUUCCUUUCUUGAUUGUCAUGUGUGCCUUUAUGGGGAUUGGUGAGGAGAGUGAGGAAGAAGUCACUAACACUGAGCAAGCUGAAAACUGGUUUUCAUUGACGUAUGCCCAACGCAUAUGUGGUGGGUACUUUGAAUUUAUCAAGUUUUGAUACAUGUUGAGUUCCUGGUAUCUUUUUUCUUGUUCUCAUAUUGUUCUUUAAAUUGAUCUUA